UUAACUCUAAUUUUUAUGUAAUUCGAACGUUUGCCUACGUUUGCCGCUAGGGGCGCUGUUCCGACUACAUACAAAUUUGAGUUA
rnacentral:pre_miRNA from 1 species